rnacentral:rRNA from 1 species
AGUGAACGCUGGCGGUAGGCCUAACACAUGCAAGUCGAACGGCAGCACAGUAAGAGCUUGCUCUUACGGGUGGCGAGUGGCGGACGGGUGAGGAAUACAUCGGAAUCUACUUUUUCGUGGGGGAUAACGUAGGUAAACUUACGCUAAUACCGCAUACGACCUACGGGUGAAAGCAGUGGAUCUUCGGACCUUGCGCGAUUGAAUGAGCCGAUGUCGGAUUAGCUAGUUGGCGGGGUAAAGGCCCACCAAGGCGACGAUCCGUAGCUGGUCUGAGAGGAUGAUCAGCCACACUGGAACUGAGACACGGUCCAGACUCCUACGGGAGGCAGCAGUGGGGAAUAUUGGACAAAGGGCGCAAGCCUGAUCCAGCUAUACCGCGUGGGUGAAGAAGGCCUUCGGGUUGUAAAGCCCUUUUGUUGGGAAAGAAAAGCAGCAGGUUAAUACCCCGCUGUUCUGACGGUACCCAAAGAAUAAGCACCGGCUAACUUCGUG